rnacentral:rRNA from 1 species
GUGAACCUGCGGAGGGAUCAUUACCGAGUUUACAACUCCCAAACCCCUGUGAACAUACCAUAUUGUUGCCUCGGCGGUGCCCGUUUCGGCGGCCCGCCAGAGGACCCAAACCCUGUAUUAAAGUAUUCUUCUGAGUAAAUGAUUAAAUCAAUCAAAACUUUCAACAACGGAUCUCUUGGCUCUGGCAUCGAUGAAGAACGCAGCGAAAUGCGAUAAGUAAUGUGAAUUGCAGAAUUCAGUGAAUCAUCGAAUCUUUGAACGCACAUUGCGCCCGCCAGUAUUCUGGCGGGCAUGCCUGUCCGAGCGUCAUUUCAACCCUCAAGCCCCCGGGCUUGGUGUUGGAGAUCGGCGAGCCCUCCGGGGCGAGCCGUCUCCCAAUUUAGUGGCGGUCUCGCUGUAGCUUCCUCUGCGUAGUAGCACACCUCGCACUGGGAAACAGCGUGGCCACGCCGUAAAACCCCCCACUUCUGAAAGGUUGACCUCGGAUCAGGUAGGAAUACCCGCUGAACUUAAGCAUAUCAAUAAGCGG